AGAGGGGUUCGUCAACGAGACCCUCUAUCCCAAUUUCUCUUCAUCAUUGUCGUUAAAGCUCUACAUGUUAUGGAGACAUCUAUGUAAAAUCAUCUUUACCCAGGUAUUUUUCUCCUCCAAAAUGGUUCCCUUUAUCGCACUUGAUGUACACUCAUGACAUUAUGUUUAUUGGGGAAUGGUUUGUUAUUAACUUUUUAAAUCUUAAGCGGGUCCUUAGAUGCUUUUACUUGACAUCCAAACUUAAGGCUAUUUUUUUUAAAAUAGCAAAGCCUUUUGCGUUUGGUGUUGAAAACACAAAGAUGUCGAGAAUUGCUAAUCUCCUUAAUUGUGAAGCUGAUACACUCCCAUUUUCCAAUCUAUGUGUCCUAAUAGGAGCAAACAUGAAAUAUAGCUAACAUUGGAACCCCAUAAUUGAAAAUUUUAAGUCAAGAUUGAACUUUUUGGAAGUCAAAAACAUUAUUCUUUGGUGGCAGAUUGACAAGAGAGUAUGAAGUAAAAAAAAGUACGAUUAAAUGGGUGGCAUAGAAAAAUAUGUUGGCCGCUAAAGUGGCCGACGACCUUGACAUUGGUUCUCAUACAGUUUUUAACUUGGCUCUUUUAUCUAACUGGUGGUGAAAGUUAAAACUAGGAGUCGGUGGAGUUUGGACUAAAGUGAUCAAAGAACUCCACAAUGUUAGGUGCAUUUUGUGCACCUUUUUGCACAUAUUUUCAUCACUUUUAUGCAUCCAUUUAGUGUAAUUUAUUUAAUUUUAUAUGCAUUUCAUAUAAGUCAAGUUAAUUACUAGAACAACCUUAUUUGCAUGUUUUUACGGUCUUUUCAGAUGAUUCGGAGGUGGAAACGCGUUUUGGGAGGUGUCAGGAAGCACGGGUGAAGGUUUUGAAGCGAUUAGAUGUGAAACAAAAAAGUUGGAAAAUCAAGAUUGCACCUAGAAGCAGAGAGGAACAUGGACCGUGUUAGAAUGCACUUAAAAGAUGGACACAGGUCGUGUUUUACCAAGAAGGAGUUGUUGACCAUGCUGAAAACAGGCCGUAUCAUUUUAGCAUAUAUUGACACGACCCGUGUUGGUCUAUUUCUGCAAGUUUGAGCAUUGUACUUUGGAAGAAAUCUCUAGGGUAGCAUGUCAUUUUCUACACAACACGGCCCGUUUUGAUUUACUUUAUUUCAAUAUGGGCCGUGUUCGGUCUAAUAAUUGUAUUUUGGUAGUUUUUCAUUUUUAUUCUAUCUUGGGAUUUUGGGAC
rnacentral:lncRNA from 1 species